rnacentral:rRNA from 1 species
GACGAACGCUGGCGGCGUGCCUAAUACAUGCAAGUUGAGCGCUGAAGGUUGGUACUUGUACCGACUGGAUGAGCAGCGAACGGGUGAGUAACGCGUGGGGAAUCUGCCUUUGAGCGGGGGACAACAUUUGGAAACGAAUGCUAAUACCGCAUAAAAACUUUAAACACAAGUUUUAAGUUUGAAAGAUGCAAUUGCAUCACUCAAAGAUGAUCCCGCGUUGUAUUAGCUAGUUGGUGAGGUAAAGGCUCACCAAGGCGAUGAUACAUAGCCGACCUGAGAGGGUGAUCGGCCACAUUGGGAAUGAGAAACGGUCCAAACUCCUACGGGAGGCAGCAGGAGGGAAUCUUCGGCAAUGGACGAAAGUCUGACCGAGCAACGCCGCGUGAGUGAAGAAGGUUUUCGGAUCGUAAAACUCUGUUGGUAGAGAAGAACGUUGGUGAGAGUGGAAAGCUCAUCAAGUGACGGUAACUACACAGAAAGAGACGGCUAACUACGUG